ensembl:miRNA
UAAGUGUAAACUUAAGGACUAUCUUUUCUAAGCCUGUGCCUUGCCUUUCCUUUGGCACAGGCUUAGAAAAGAGAGUCCUUAAGUUUACACUUC